rnacentral:rRNA from 3 species
AUCUAAGUACCCCGAGGAAAAGAAAUCAACCGAGAUUCCCCCAGUAGCGGCGAGCGAACGGGGAGGAGCCCAGAGCCUGAAUCAGCAUGUGUGUUAGUGGAAGCGUCUGGAAAGGCGCGCGAUACAGGGUGACAGCCCCGUACACAAAAGCGCAUGUGCUGUGAGCUCGAUGAGUAGGGCGGGACACGUGGUAUCCUGUCUGAAUAUGGGGGGACCAUCCUCCAAGGCUAAAUACUCCUGACUGACCGAUAGUGAACCAGUACCGUGAGGGAAAGGCGAAAAGAACCCCGGCGAGGG